rnacentral:rRNA from 1 species
UACAGAGGGGGCAAGCGUUGUUCGGAAUUACUGGGCGUAAAGGGCGCGUAGGCGGCCUUCUAAGUCGAACGUGAAAUCCCCGGGCUCAACCCGGGAACUGCGUCCGAUACUGGAAGGCUUGAAUCCGGGAGAGGGAUGCGGAAUUCCAGGUGUAGCGGUGAAAUGCGUAGAUAUCGGGAGGAACACCAGUGGCGAAGGCGGCAACCUGGACAGAUAUUGACGCUGAGGUGCGAAAGCGUGGGGAGCAAACAGG